rnacentral:rRNA from 1 species
GUUAAAAAGCUCGUAGUUGGAUUUCUGUUGAGGGCGGCGUCCGCACUACUGCGUGUAUCUGUUACGACCUUGGCUCCUCUUGAAGAACAGUUCGGUGAUUCAGUUCGCCGGCUGGAAUUCAGACUUUUACUUUGAGGAAAUUAGAGUGUUCACGGCAAGCAAUCGCCUUGAAUACAUUAGCAUGGAAUAAUAAUAUAGGACCUUGGUACUAUUUUGUUGGUUUCUAGAACUAAGGUAAUGAUUAAUAGGGAUAAUUGGGGGCAUUCGUAUUAACACGUCAGAGGUGGAAUUCUUGGAUUGUGUUACGACGAACUACUGCGAAAGCAUUUGCCAAGGAUGUUUUCAUUGAUCAAGAACGAAAGUAUGGGGAUCGAAGACGAUUAGAUACCGUCGUAGUCUAUACCAUAAACUAUGCCAACUAGAGAUUGGAGGUCGUAUUUUAUAUGACUCCUUCAGCACCUUAUGAGAAAUCAAAGUUUGGGUUCCGGGGGAGUAU